CCCUCCUCUUUUCUUUCUUCUUUUCUCUUCCAUUCUUCUUCCUUCUUCUCUGUUCUACCCGCCUGAACACACAGAGAGAUUGAGAGUGAGAGAGAGCCGAGUAAGAGGGAGAGCUGAGAGAGAGAUUCAGGGAGAUUGAGAGGGAAAGAGAGACUGAGAGACCGAGAGAUCGAGAGAGAGAGCCGGGAGCCGAAACCCGCGACCCGUCGAGCAGUGCACAGAGACGACGAACGGCGGUUCCCGUGGCGAUUCCGGCGAACCAAAGCCGAAAUCCGACAAUUUCCGGCGGAAUCCAGGAGCCGUGACCCGCAAACCCGCUAGACCCACGAGAGAGAACCCAGGCGGUUUGUGUACCCGUGAACCAACCCGAACCUUCCGGAGGUCCGAUCCUCCAUUUCUGGCGGCCAGAAGUCGAUUUCCAGCGGGCUAAGGUGCUCUAGCCGAUCCACGAAGACUCGUAACCCAGAACCCAUGCAACCCGUGACCCGUACCCGUGUGACCCAAUGGCUUGAAGGCUAGGCUUCCGGCAAAUUUUUCGGCGGGUCAGUGAUGUUUUCCGGCGAUUCUAGCUCACUGAUUCCAGUGGAUUGGCUAUGAAAAUCCUUAGGAUCGAGUUAUAAUUGGAGACUUCAAUGGGUUCUCCAAUGUAGAGUUCGAGUUGGAGUCUAAUGCAGCCAUGAUGAUGUUUCUUUGGCUGCAGGUACUUCGGUAUAGUUGAGGGGUUGGUAGCAGUAUACUUGGGAUAUUAUGACCGAAGCUCGCCGGGACAGUUGUAAUUGUCGGACCACGGGUUGUCCACUAUUUUAUAGGUUUGGUAUGGCUUGUGACGUUUGUGUCACUAAUUCUUUGUUAAGCCAUUAUUGUUAUGUAAUGAUUGUGUUAAUAAAGACUUAAACAGAUAGAGGUUAAAUGGCUCAAUGUUGUAAUUAAGUUGUGAUAGAUGUAUAAGUUGUAAUUUCCGCUAUUCAGAUUUAUGUUUUCCGCUGCA